UUACACAGGCCUGGGGUUCAGCUGCCGGCAGCCUACAGCUGUAACCAUCUGUAACUCUAGUUCCGGGUGAUCGAACAUCCAUCCCCUCUGGCCCCGCACAGGUACCUAUAUGUGUAUAUGUAUACAUACAAUCUGGCACAUACAUACACUGAACACACACACACUUUGGACUUCACAUGUGACCUAAACAGCAAGCACUAGAGGGCAGUAGCUGAUUAACAAGGGUAGCCAGGAAGGCAGAAGGAGAAAAUGACCCAAGGGCUUCUCCCCUUCCUCCUCACCUCUUCUCUCCUCACCUCCUCUUUCCUCACGGCCUUCUUCCCCUCCAUUCUCCUAAUAACUGCCUCCCCCACCACCUCUACUGCAGUCUGGGUAAAACGAAUUUGAGAGAAAAGCUGGCCUAUUGAAAGUCCAUUUUUUUUUCAUGUAUUUUCCAAUUUACCAGCUUGACACAGCUCUCCAAGGAGCUUACACAAGCUUUAAGGAGGUUGAAUAAAUAAAGCCUAGAGAUGGUUGAACAAGCAGCUUUUUGAAUAUCCACUUGUAGAGCAGAAUCAGAUUUGUAACCAAGUGCCUUGGGAUUUGGAAACAGCUCCCCUCCUCGUUAGUGGGCUUGGAGAGGAAAGAGAAAGGCUCUCUCUGUAUGUUUAUGGAAGCUGCCUCCUGCCUCCUUGCCUCCACCUAGUGCCCACCUUUCCUGGGAUGAAAGACUUGCUUUUUUUCUUCCUCUUUUUGAGUUCUCACUCUAGCCCAGGCUGACCACGGUUUCUCGAUCCUCCUGCCUUCAGUUUAGAAGUAUAGACUUACAGGUAUGUUCUACAACGCCUGGCUCUAAAUGUCUCCUUUCCCUCCCCCUCCCCCCUCUCUCUCUUCCUUCUUUUCCGUCUCUUUGCCAUGGGGUCAUGGAGUCCAGGCUGGCUUCCAGUUGGCUGCGUAGGCAAGGAUGUGCUUGAACUUCUGACCCCCCUCCUUUCUGCUUCCUGAGUGCUGAGAUUGCAGAUGUACGCCAUGGUGCUUGGUGUUAGGCCGGGCUAGGAUGGGGACCCAGGGGCUUUGUGCAUGCCAGGCAAGCAUUCUACCAACUUGCUCCCCCUCUUUUUUUUUUUUUUCUCCUCUCAACUUUGACCACUGAGCAGCCCUACCCCUUUCCUUUCCUUUUGAAACAAGGUCUUGCUAAGUUGCCCCAGCUAGCCUUAAAUUCAGCUCUGCAGUCAGGCGGGUCCUGUACUCGCCAUCCUCUUGACUCAGAUCAGCCUCCUGAACAUCUGGGAUUACAAGCUUGCACAAGCAUCCAAAAUGCUUUCUCCUAAAUGCUUCGUAAAUGAAGCAAUCAGAGAGGAGGCUGUAGCCAUCCGUAGCUUAGGUAAGAGACGCUGUGAGGCCAGGCUCUGCCGGUGUCUGGUAAGGAAGCACUUGGAUUAACGGCAUUCUUGUUGGUUUAAUUCUUGAGACCAGGUCUCAGGUAGAGUAAACUAGCUUUGUAAGUAUUCUAUAGCUGAGGCUGGCCUUGAACUCCUGAACCUCUUGGUUCUACCUCCUCAGUAUUGGGUUUUCAGGGCUGUGCCACCACACCUGACUCAUCUACAGCCUUUAAUUUUCUUUUCUCAAUGCAGACACUUUCGUUUUUAAUAUUAAAUGACAAAUGAAGCUAUCCUGCAAAACAAAAGGUUUUUGAAUAUGGCUUAUAAAGAGCUCAUAACAGGCACUGGUCAGGUGUCUUGGCUUUUUACUCCCAUAGAAAGCCUGCGGCUCUGCUAGGACACAGGCUUUCCUGUGGACACAGGAGGUACCUGGCUUGCUGGCCUUGAACAGAACAUGCCCCGUGGUUCAGUCUUCUAUGCCCACACCUGGAUGGAAAGAACCAUCAUUGGCUACAGGCAGAGGCUGCCCGGCUCUCUCCCUGGACUUCUCACUCUAUUAAGGCUGCUGCGUUCUGCCCACCUGACAUUCCUGCGGCACUCCGAGGACAUCUUGGUAGUCGAGACCAUGAACUCUGUCAGCAGGUACAGCACCGGCACUUUGGAGUGAAAGGCCACAAUGGCCAGCACACCCUCUCCCUCCUCCCAUCCCAUGUAGGUAGGUGGUCUGUAGAGUCAGUGGCGAAGCAUCUAGGAGUUCUUGCAUAUCUCCCCCCAGGUGGAUCCUUCACAUGGACUGUGGGCACUGUAUACACUGCUUCUUGAAGCCUUUCUCACUUGAGACUCCCUCCUCUCUGAUGACUCUAGCUGUGCCAAGCUGACAUAAAAGUAAGCAGUACUCUAGGCAAGCACUCUAUUGUUCCCUACAUGCUGGCCAAAGAAAGAAGGUGGUACCAUCUGCCUCCCUCCCACAAGAUCUGAGAUUUAAGUACCCAGCCCUUCCCACCACUUCUUUAACAUGCCUGAUCCGUAGACAAGUCAAGAUACCCAGUGUGCUUGUAAAUAAACUUUCCUUUUGUACCUGGC
ensembl:lincRNA Gm43949 predicted gene, 43949